CCUACGGGUGGGCUGCAGUGGGGAAUAUUGGACAAUGGGCGAAAGCCUGAUCCAGCCAUGCCGCGUGUGUGAAGAAGGCCUUCGGGUUGUAAAGCACUUUCAGUGGGGAAGAAAGCCUUGGGGCUAAUACCCUCGAGGAAGGACAUCACCCACAGAAGAAGCACCGGCUAACUCCGUACCAGCAGCCGCGGUAAUACGGAGGGUGCGAGCGUUAAUCGGAAUUACUGGGCGUAAAGCGCGCGUAGGCGGUCUGAUAAGCCGGUUGUGAAAGCCCCGGGCGCAACCUGGGAACGGCAUCCGGAACUGUCAGGAUAGAGUGCAGGAGAGGAAGGUAGAAUUCCCGGUGUAGCGGUGAAAUGCGUAGAGAUCGGGAGGAAUACCAGUGGCGAAGGCGGCCUUCUGGACUGACACUGACGCUGAGGUGCGAAAGCGUGGGUAGCAAACAGGAUUAGAUACCCUAGUAGUC
rnacentral:rRNA from 1 species